UACGGGGGGAGCAAGCGUUGUACGGAUUUACUGGGCGUAAAGGGCGCGUAGGCGGUCAGCACAAGUCAGUUGUGAAAUCUCCGGGCUUAACUCGGAAAGGUCAACUGAUACUGUGCGACUAGAGUGCAGAAGGGGCAACUGGAAUUCUCGGUGUAGCGGUGAAAUGCGUAGAUAUCGAGAGGAACACCUGCGGCGAAGGCGGGUUGCUGGGCCGACACUGACGCUGAGGCGCGAAAGCCAGGGGAGCGAACGGG
rnacentral:rRNA from 1 species